rnacentral:rRNA from 1 species
AAUAGAUACCCAGGUAGUCCGCGCCGUAAACGAUGGAUACUAGCUGUUUGAGCGCAAGUUUGAGUGGCUAAGCGAAAGUGAUAAGUAUCCCACCUGGGGAGUACGGGCGCAAGCCUGAAACUCAAAGGAAUUGACGGGGGCCCGCACAAGCGGUGGAGCAUGUGGUUUAAUUCGAUGAUACGCGAGGAACCUUACCAGGGCUUAAAUGUAGAUUGACGUAUUUGGAAGCAGAUAUUUCUUCGGACAAUUUACAAGGUGCUGCAUGGUUGUCGCCAGCUCGUGCCGUGAGGUGUCAGGUUAAGUCCUAUAACGAGCGCAACCCCUGUUGUUAGUUGCCAGCGAGUAAUGUCGGGAACUCUAGCAAGACUGCCAGUGUAAACUGUGAGGAAGGUGGGGAUGACGUCAAAUCAUCACGGCCCUUACGUCCUGGGCCACACACGUGCUACAAUGGCCGGUACAGAGAGCAGCCACUUAGCGAUAAGGAGCGAAUCUAUAAAGCCGGUCACAGUUCGGAUCGGAGU